UACGUAGGGGGCAAGCGUUGUCCGGAUUUAUUGGGCGUAAAGAGCGUGUAGGCGGCCAUACAGGUCAGCUGUGAAAACUCGAGGCUCAACCUCGAGACGUCGGUUGAAACCGUAUGGCUAGAGUCCGGAAGAGGAGAGUGGAAUUCCCGGUGUAGCGGUGAAAUGCGUAGAGAUCGGGGAGGAACACCAGUGGCGAAGGCGGCUACCUGGACCAGCACUGACACUGAGGCACGAAAGCGUGGGGGAGCAAACAGG
rnacentral:rRNA from 1 species